CGUAGGGGGCAAGCGUUGUCUGGAUUUACUGGGUGUAAAGGGUGCUCAGGUGGCUUGGAUAGUCAGUGGUGAAAUCUGAGAGCUUAACUCUCAAACUGCCAUUGAUACUUCUUAGCUUGAGUACGGAAGAGGCUGAUGGAAUUUCAGGUGUAGCAGUGAAAUGCGUAGAUAUCUGAAAGAACACCAGUGGCGAAGGCGGUCAGCUGGUCCGUUACUGACACUAUAGCACGAAAGCGUGGGUAGCAAACAGGAUUAGAUACCCUGGUAGUCCACGCCCUAAACGAUGAAUACUAGACGUUGGGUGUAAAAACUCAGUGUCGCAGCUAACGCAUUAAGUAUUCCACCUGGGGAGUACGAUCGCAAGGUUG
rnacentral:rRNA from 1 species